CGCAGCCUUGUCAAAUUCAGUGUAUCCUCCUCGGUGGAUGCUACUGGCCAAAAUGGCUGCAACAGUGAAGGUGUAGUUCGUUGAGCCCCAUUGUGCUUCACCCUGGCCUCUGGGCAUAAUCAUGUACUACACACAAAG